rnacentral:ncRNA from 2 species
AACGCAUAUUGCGCUCGAGACUUCGGUCGAGAGCAUGCCUGUCUCAGCGUCGGCUCACCCCCUCGCCCCCUUCUCCUUCACUGGAGCAGGUUUAAAAGGCGGAUGUGGCCGUCUCAGUUUUCUGGCAACAGCAAAACUGGGUCGGCUGAAGCACAGGGCUUGCGGCCGGACCCUCAAUCACUUGGGGCGCCAGCAUGGUAGGUGGCUCUUCGCAGCUGCAUGCCGCUGUCGCUUUCCAGACCGAGACCGACCGCGCGGCCAAGCAGGAAAAGCUCUUUCUUCACUGAAAGAUCAAUUCUUCGACCUGAGAUCAGACAAGACUACCCGCUGAACUUAA